rnacentral:lncRNA from 1 species
GUGGUCACUCCCCCAGCAUGGGGUGGCCUGCAGCAGGCCCACAGACCCAGAGAACACAGUCCCUUCUCGCACGGCCUGGUCUUCAGCUUCCCUUUUCAGAAUGGAAUGCACACGAUUUAUUAGGCUUCCUGAAACAGCACAUACACAGCUGGAAUGAUGGUGACUGUUAGCCGCUGCUGAGACAGAAGCACAUGUUGGCAGCGGCUUUCCUUGAAUUUUCCUUCUGCUCAGAUCAAGGAGUCAUCGGUUUCACCUGCCAUCUCCCAUGGUCUCUGAGGUUCUGAAGGCUACUACCUACUGAGUCACUCCUGCUCACAAUUAAAGAGGAGUCCUCAUGAGAGGUCACUCUGCUGGUAUCAGUGUGGUAUCAGCAGAGGGAGGCGCAGCAAAGGAACUCUGUUUAGCCCCGAUACAAUCAUUGCAUGCCCAGCUUGGUGGUUUUUCUUCUUCCCUGUCCUGUAAUCACUCAGAUCCCCAAAGCUCCAUUCUGAAUGCUUCCCUUGUCCCUAGAAUACACGUCAAGUCCUUCCACGGUGUUUACCCUCAGCCCUGAGAACUCUUCAGAAGAUGAGACCCGGUUAAAUGUUCCCAAUUCUAUCAUCUUUACAAAGCCUUUGGAGUUUUGCUGGAGGACGAGCAGGAGCCAG